rnacentral:tRNA from 1 species
GCCCGCUUAGCUCAGUGGUAGAGCGCGUCACUAGUACCUCCCACGUUCGUGGACGCCGUCCGGUAUGACGAGGUCGGUUGUUCGAUCCAGCCAGUGGGCA